rnacentral:rRNA from 1 species
CCAGCUCCAAUAGCGUAUAUUAAAGUUGUUGCAGUUAAAAAGCUCGUAGUUGGAUUUCGGAAGGUCCUUAGCAAUCCGCCCCUUCGGGGAGCGGGUUGCUGGCCUCCUAUGUUCCUAACGGUCCUCACUCGCGAGGGUGGGGAAUCAACCGCUAGGAUCGUUUACUUUGAGGAAAUUAGAGUGUUCAAAGCAGGCGUAACUCGCCUCCGAAUACGUUAGCAUGGGAUAAUGGAAUACGACUUCGGUCUUGUUUCGUUGGUUUCGCUUGGCUGAAGUAAUGAUUGAUAGGGACAGUUGGGGGCAUUAGUAUUUAGUUGUCAGAGGUGAAAUUCUAGGAUUUACUAAAGACUGACCAAUGCGAAAGCAUUUGCCAAGGAUGUUUUCAUUAAUCAAGAACGAAAGUAGGGGGAUCGAAGACGAUCAGAUACCGUCGUAGUCUCUACCGUAAACUAUGCCGACCAGGGAUCCGGAGAGUUUGCAUGGAUGACUCCCCGGGCACCUUGUGAGAAAUCAUAAGUGUUUGGGUUUUGGGGGGAGUAUGGUCGCAAGGCUGAAACUUAAAGGAAUUGACGGAAGGGCACCACCAGGAGUGGAACCUGCGGCUUAAUUUGACUCAAC